rnacentral:miRNA from 1 species
UAAGUGCUUCCAGGUUUGAGUGU